AACGAACGCUGGCGGCAGGCCUAACAAAUGCAAGUCGAAAGAACCGUUUACGGUGAGUGGCGCACGGGUGAGUAACACGUGGGGAUAUACAUUUCGGUAAGGAAUAACGUAGAGAAAUUUACGCUAAUACCUUAUAAUGACUACGGUCCAAAGAUUUAUCGUCGAAGGAUUAGCCCGCGUUAGAUUAGGUAGUUGGUAGGGGAAUGGCCUACCAAGACUAGGUUCUAUAGCUGGUCUUAGAGGAUGAUCAGCCACACUGGAACUAAGACACGGACCAGACUCCUACGGAAAGGAGUAGUGAGGAAUGAUUCGCAAUGGGGGAUAACCUCCCGCAUCCAUGCCGCUUGAGUGACGAAGGCCUUAGGGUUGUAAAGCUCUUUCAUAUGUAUAGAUAAUGACGGUAACAUCAGAAUAAGCUCCGGCUAAAUUCGUGCCAGCAGCCGCGGUAA
rnacentral:rRNA from 1 species